rnacentral:misc_RNA from 1 species
AUUGAUGAGCAUGACUUCAAUACAAAACUUCGGAAUGCAAUCAAGUUCCUUGAAAAAGGCGAUAAAGUGAAAGCUUCUAUCCGUUUCAAAGGACGUGCAAUCACGCAUAAGGAAAUCGGCCAGCGUGUACUAGACCGUUUCUCAGCUGCAUGUAAAGAAGUGGCGACCAUUGAAUCACACCCAAAAAUGGAUGGCCGCAGCAUGUUCCUGGUUUUAGCACCGAAAAACGAAAAGUAAUGUAAUGAGGAGGAAUACCUUAUGCCUAAAAUGAAAACACACCGCGGAUCUGCAAAACGUUUCAAAAAAACUGGAUCCGGCAAACUUAAGCGUUCAAACGCUUA